rnacentral:rRNA from 1 species
CCUACGGGUGGCAGCAGUGGGGAAUAUUGGGCAAUGGGCGUAAGCCUGACCCAGCAACGCCGCGUGAAGGAAGAAGGCUCUCGGGUUGUAAACCUCCUUUAAGCGGGAAGAGCAGAAGACGGUACCUCUUGAAUAAGCCACGGCUAACUACGUGCCAGCAGCUGCGUCAAUACGUAGGUGGCCUGCGGUGUCCGGAUUUACUGGGUGUAAAGGGCGUGCAGCCGGGAAGACAAGUCAGAUGUGAAAUCCCGGGGCUCAACCGCGGAACUGCAUUUGAAACUGUUUUUCUUGUGUACCGGAGAGGUCAGCGGAAUUCCUUGUGUAGCGGGGAAAUGCGUAGAUAUAAGGAAGAACACCAGUGGCGAAGGCAGAUGACUGGACGGCAACUGACGGUGAGGCGCGAAAGCGUGGGGAGCAAACAGGAUUAGAUACCCGAGUAGUC